CACAGAAGGAGAAUGACACAGAAUAACAUGAUAAAUAGUGUUAUACAAGCACUGAACAUUUGAAAUUCACUCUCACCCUUGAUGCACGAAACAAGUUUUCUUGACAUUUUGACAAAGAGGGAGGGGGAGGGCUUCAGCACCGACCUAAACAGGAAGCCACUGGACAGGAAUUCCUAGUUACCCGGAGACAGCUUCCAACCUUAGACCCCUAAAAAAGAGCCUCCCCAUCAGCCAAUACAGUUGCAUACGCAGGAUUUGUAGUACACAGAGUGUACACAGAGUGACUAUGACAAGCAAGCCAACUGUCUGGAUGAGCGUUUCAGACAGCGAGGUUACCCAGAGGAAUGGCUGGAUGAGUGUUUCAGACAGCGGGGUUACCCAGAGGAAUGGCUGGAUGAGUGUUUCAGACAGCGAGGUUACCCAGAGGAAUGGCUGGAUGAGUGUUUCAGACAGCGAGGUUACCCAGAGGAAUGGCUGGAUGAGUGUUUCAGACAGCGAGGUUACCCAGAGGAAUGGCUGGAUGAGUGUUUCAGACAGCGAGGUUACCCAGAGGAAUGGCUGGAUGAGUGUUUCAGACAGCGAGGUUACCCAGAGGAAUGGCUGGAUGAGUGUUUCAGACAGCGAGGUUACCCAGAGGAAUGGCUGGAUGAGUGUUUCAGACAGCGAGGUUACCCAGAGGAAUGGCUGGAUGAGUGUUUCAGACAGCGAGGUUACCCAGAGGAAUGGCUGGAUGAGUGUUUCAGACAGCGGGGUUACCCAGAGGAAUGGCUGGAUGAGUGUUUCAGACAGCGAGGUUACCCAGAGGAAUGGCUGGAUGAGUGUUUCAGACAGCGAGGUUACCCAGAGGAAUGGCUGGAUGAGUGUUUCAGACAGCGGGGUUACCCAGAGGAAUGGCUGGAUGAGUGUUUCAGACAGCGGGGUUACCCAGAGGA